UACGUAGGGACCAAGCGUUGUUCGGAAUUAUUGGGCGUAAAGGGUGCGUAGGCGGUUUGGUAAGUCUUGUGUGAAAUCUCCAGGCUCAACUUGGAGUCUGCACGAGAAACUGCCGGGCUUGAGUGUGGGAGAGGUGAGUGGAAUUCCUGGUGUAGCGGUGAAAUGCGUAGAUAUCAGGAGGAACACCUGUGGCGAAAGCGGCUCACUGGACCACAACUGACGCUGAUGCACGAAAGCUAGGGGAGCAAACAGG
rnacentral:rRNA from 1 species